AGAACUGUUUACUAGAACAAUACCACAGCGCCAUUCCUUUUUUGCUACAGUGAUUGACUUUUCAGCUUCAGAUACAAAUUCCAGCGUUAUAGGUAACUGAACAGCCAUGAAUGUUUUUCUCAUGAUAGUACCGAAGCGAUAUCGGUAUUCACAGGUUGGGCAAUUUACACUGAUGCUAUUUCCUGGAUAAAAGCUUAUCGUCCAUCAUCAGCAUUAAAACUGCUUUCUUAGAUUCGGAUAAGCAAUCGUCAAUUAUGUUGGAUGCAGUGAAAUAUUUCCCAAGAUGACAUUGAAGCAAAUGAAGUUGAAGGCCAAAAAGGAAACUUCCCGUAAGCUGCAAGGAGAGACGAAUCAUAAUUUCCUGGAAACAUUUAUUGAAAGACACACCAUCGGAUACAUAUCAACAUGCCAAUCCGCCGAAUUGAAGUACAUGGCGAUAUGAGAUCAAUUACUUUAUACAUGGGUGCUGAUGUAAUCGGCCACCUGAGAUUGGAGCCAGCCUUUGACAGCCCUGUGCGGAUAAAAUAUGCCCGUUUUAUCAUCUGCAGAGAACACAAGAAACGUAUACAGGAAAUUGGAUGUCAUCGUACUUCGUUGCAGGUUACGACACCUGAAGUCGCUACUAGAGAACCACAAUGUAUCGAUGCUAUUUACUGGAACAAUGACACAGCGUCAUGCCCUGUCUGCAAAGGAUUGCUUUUUCAGCUCCAUGCACAUUUGAACGAUGGUGGCAAUCGGUGAAUAUAUCCUUAAAAUUCCACCUAAUCAACAUCAGUAUUCAUUGGUUGGAAAAGUUGCAUUGAUACCAUUUCCUGGAUAAAGCAAUAACACUUGACAAUAGUAGAAAAACUGUUUUCUCUGUUCAGCAUAACUUGGAAUCGGUUAUGCUGGAACCUCUG